CGUUAGUAGAGGGAGGUGCGCCCUUGAGACGGAGCCCUUGAGACGGAGCUGGAGGUCCGGCCUCGAAGCAGUAUCUCUACAGUUAUGGCGAAGGAGUGGAAUGAUGACCACAUAAAAAAACUUAUUGAACUGUACCGCGAAAGACCUUGUUUAUGGAAAAUCAACCAUGAACAUUACCCCAACAAAAACAUAAAAAGUAGAGCGUACGCAGAGAUUCUUGAAAAACUUUUAGACGAUGUUCCAACUGUGGACCAGAUUACAAUAAAAAUGAAGUCACAAAAUUUGAGAUGCACCUACAGAAUGGAGCCAAGGAAGGUGAAGGCCUCUGAAAGAAGCGGAAAAGGGAAAGAUGAAUGGUAUGAACCAUCAUUAUGGUAUUAUGAGUUACUGCAUUUUACAAAAGACCAAGAACACCCUCCCCGAGGUUAUCAAAAGGGAAAUGAGGAGGGGCUUGAGGUUGUUGAGCCAAU